rnacentral:rRNA from 1 species
UACAGAGGGGGCAAGCGUUGUUCGGAAUUACUGGGCGUAAAGGGCGCGUAGGCGGCCUGCUAAGUCGAACGUGAAAUCCCCGGGCUCAACCCGGGAACUGCGUCCGAUACUGGCGGGCUUGAAUUCGGGAGAGGGAGGUGGAAUUCCAGGUGUAGCGGUGAAAUGCGUAGAUAUCAGGAGGAACACCGGUGGCGAAGGCGGGUCUCUGGGCCGAUACUGACGCUGAGGAGCGAAAGCGUGGGGAGCGAACAGG